UACGUAGGGUGCGAGCGUUAAUCGGAAUUACUGGGCGUAAAGCGUGCGUAGGCGGUUCCUCAAGUCCGUUGUGAAAGCCCCGGGCUCAACCUGGGAAUGGCAGUGGAAACUAGGGGACUGGAAUCUGGGCAGAGGGGGGUGGAAUGCCGCGUGUAGCAGUGAAAUGCGUAGAGAUGCGGCGGAACACCGAUGGCGAAGGCAGCCCCUGGGCUGA
rnacentral:rRNA from 1 species